UAUCUCAGUUGGUAGAGCAUGGUGUUUGCAACGCCAGGGUUGUGGGUUCGAUUCCCAC
rfam:Salmo salar isolate Sally breed double haploid chromosome ssa22, whole genome shotgun sequence.